GACGAACGCUGGCGGCGCGCCUAACACAUGCAAGUCGAACGGGGAGUUAGCAAUAACUUUCUAGUGGCGAACGGGUGAGUAACGCGUAGACAACCAACCUUGUAGUGGGGGACAACACUUCGAAAGGAGUGCUAAUACCGCAUAAUCUCCCGAGAUCGCAUGGUCAUGGGAGGAAAGAGCCGCAAGGCUCCGCUAUAAGACGGGUCUGCGUCUGAUUAGCUAGUUGGAGGGGUAACGGCCCACCAAGGCGACGAUCAGUAGCCGGUCUGAGAGGAUGAACGGCCACACUGGGACUGAGACACGGCCCAGACUCCUACGGGAGGCAG
rnacentral:rRNA from 1 species